rnacentral:rRNA from 1 species
UACGGGGGGGGCAAGCGUUGUUCGGAAUUACUGGGCGUAAAGGGCUCGUAGGCGGCCAACUAAGUCAGACGUGAAAUCCCCAGGCUCAACCUGGGAACUGCGUCUGAUACUGGAUGGCUUGAAUUCGGGAGAGGGAUGCAGAAUUCCAGGUGUAGCGGUGAAAUGCGUAGAUAUUCGCAAGAACACCAGUGGCGAAGGCGGCUCACUGGCCCGGUACUGACGCUGAGGUGCGAAAGCGUGGGGAGCAAACAGG